rnacentral:rRNA from 1 species
UACAGAGGGUGCGAGCGUUGUUCGGAAUUAUUGGGCGUAAAGGGCGCGUAGGCGGCGCGGUAAGUCACCUGUGAAAUCUCCUGGCUCAACUGGGAGCUUGCAGGCGAAACUGCCGUGCUGGAGUGUGGGAGAGGUGCGUGGAAUUCCUGGUGUAGCGGUGAAAUGCGCAGAUAUCAGGAAGAACACCCGUGGCGAAAGCGGCUCUCUGGAACGGUACUGACGCUGAGACGCGAAAGCGUGGGGAGCGAACAGG